rnacentral:lncRNA from 1 species
AGAUCCAAAUGAGGUGAUUCUUGAUGCAUUGGAAAGCUAACUCAAAGGGCUACAAGUUUUAUGUUUUGGUCAAGAGCUAAAUCAGCUUUUAUCAUCAAGAAAAGUUCAGUUGAAGUUGAGUCAAAAUCGGAGCAGAGCUGGAAAUUGAACCAGAAGUGACCAAAUGGUCACUGUAGCAAUCCGGCCGGAAUUUGGCCGGAUUUGUGGCCGGAUUCCUGGCCGGAUUGUGGUCAGAAAAGGCUGCUUUGUACGCGUAAAACUCAAUUUCACCUCCACCAACUCACAUGUGAUGCUAUACAUGUGAGAAACAUUCCCAGCUGUAAAAGGGAGAUGUAAUCCUCAUUUCUUGACCAACUUUCAUCAUUAAAUAGCCAAAAUUCAUUGCAAGAAAAGGAGAUGGAGUUCAUAGCAGAAAAAUAGGGAGAGACAUACGGGAGAAGCUUGGAGUCUGCAGAAAUGUAGCUCUUUCAUCUUCCUAGUGUUAGUUUAGCGUAGUAUAGAGUAGUGUAGCUUUUCCAUUCUUGUUUAUUAUCUAGAUGAAGAAGAAGAUGGAGGAUGAAGAAGGCAAGGAAGAAAGCUCAUGUGACAAGGGUUGUAUUCCUUCCAAACUCUUUAUCUUUUGUACUUGAUUCUAAGUUUGGUUAAUAUACAAGUUCUGGAUUUUGUGUUUAAUAUGUGUAUCUAAAGUUUAAGCCUUGGGUUUGGUUGAACUUUCUAUGAUUGUUAGUGUUUAUUAUUUGGUUAUUUGAUUGCUAUGAUUUGAGCAAGUUAUUUAGCACUUUGACUCUUUAAAUCAUGAUUAAUCUGGUACCAUUAAUUAUGAUUAUCUAAGGUGUUGUUUCUGCAAUGAAAAUUGAGAUUUAACACUAGUUCAAGAGGUGCUAAACAUAGGGAGUACACUCACGAAAGUAGAGGUGCACUUAUGUGGUUUUUAGUGAUUCAUUUCAUGUAAUUUCAUUGAAGCAAUGAACUUGUAGCUAAUUUCAUAACCAUGAAAAUAGAUAUGGAUUAGUUAUGAGUAUAGUUGAUUCACUACGAAAGUAGGUUUCACAUGUUUAAGGAAAUUACACUAUAACUAGCUUAGAUGUAGUACUCAAUGAUCUAAAUAUAGCACUUGCAUGAGUAGUUAGGGAUACCACAACCUAAGGAGCUUUUAUUUGUUAUUUUGUAUAAUUUCAGUAGGUUAAAUUUGUUAUAAUUCAUUGAUAGUCUAAAUAAUAGAGAAGCUUUAAUAAUACCGGUAAUUGUUCACUCUUCCCUGUGGGAUCGACCCGAUAUAUACCCUAAACUACGUUCACUGCAACUGAAUUUUUCAUGAAAAUUCAAACUCGAGAUGACAUUGGAGAUGACUAUAAUGAAGAGUUUAGUGUAAAGGAAGCAAUGAUAUAAAUUAACCUAAGCUAUUUUAUUUCCUAAUUAUUUUAGUUUCUUAUUUUGGUGUCCUAUUUAUUUUCCAUAUUAGUUUGGGAAAUUUGAAAUCAGUUUUCCAAGGAAGUUUUGGUUUGUAAUUGUAUUUAUUUAGGAAGCUUAGCAAUCGAUAAUUUCAACUAGUUUAGCACGUUGUUACUUGAAAAUUGAGUUGAGUUUUGAAGAGUGAGUUUGAGGAAAAACUCUAAAUUGAGAUUUAUGAGUUUUUGUAAGCAAAAGAUUAUGACUUAAUAUUGUUAUUAUUGAAUUUUGAGAUAAUAAAAUUAUGAAGUAUUUGUUUGUGUGUUUAGUCUCCUUCUCCUCCCACAUAUUUUUAUGUGUUAAAAUUGCUUCCUCUACGCAUGUUUUUUUUUUUUUUUGCGCCAAAAACUCUCAAUUUUGGAUACUUUACAUCCCAAAUUUUCAAAUUUUCCCGUAUUUAAAUCCAUUUAAUGAUAAUGUUAACAAAAUUAACUAGAUAAAGUACAAUGUAAAUUGAUGACAAUGAAUUGUUUUAUUAAUUCUAACUAUGAUCCCUUGGCUACUUUUGACAACUUUGAACACAUUGUCAUUAAUUUGUAUGGUCCUAAUCACUAAUAAUAUUGGUAAAAUUAAUGAAAUAAAAACGGUGCAAAUUAAUGAUAAUAUAUUGUUAUGUUCUAGUUGCAAUUCCUUAACUUCUUUUGACAAUUUUCAGAAAAUUAUCAUUGAUUUAUAGGGUUCUCAUGCCAUUAAUUUUGCUAAUGUUGCCUUUGAUUGGACUUAAACGUGACAAUAUUAAAAGUUCAUGGUGCAAAAAGUCUAAAAUUUAGAAAAGUGGUACAAGUUUAGGAGUACAAAAUGGAGUUAGUCCAAUUUCAAUUGGGCGCAAAUAAAUUUACUCAAGAAUAUUAAUAUCCUCUAGCAUAACAUAAGUAGAACGUUGAAAAGAAUUAUUUUCGAGUUUAUACGAUUUGUAUGCUAAUAUUGGGGAAAAUGUGUAACACAUCACCUAUGAUAUAUAGAAAAAGUUACACUUCCACGUGAACUGGUUCCCCAACGCCUCUCAGGACCAUAAAAAGCCAGAAAGCACUCUGUUCAUGGACACUCACUUCCAGCUUCCUGCUUCUCAAGUAGCUUUAGGAGAUAGUAAAUAAAAUUACCCAUCGGCUCGGCUUCUCUUGAACUUCGUUCAAUGGCUGUUUUUUGGUACACUUUGUUGUUUAGCUGCGUGGCAUUGGUAUAUGUGUUACCGGAGACUGUGGGAGCAGAUAAGUCCCAGAGAGAAAGAGAAGCUGACAAAGUUGUAUACUUGCCAGGGCAACCACUUGAGCAGUUUGGUUUCCAGCACUUUGCUGGUUACAUCAAACUCCGGCCAAACGAUGAGAAGGCACUUUUUUACUGGUUUUUUGAAGCGCAAAAUGAUGUUUCUCAUAGGCCUCUAGUUCUUUGGCUAAAUGGGGUUAGUAUUUUGUCAACUUUCCUUGUUCUUUUCUAGACAUUCUUGUAUGCUCUUUCGUCUUGUGUGCUUUUCUUGCAUCUUUUUGGGUAGUGAUAGUGGCGGUCAGAAAGCGGAGGGAAGAUGGGGGAGGAGGGUUGUGGUUGGUGAAGAAGACUGAGGAGGGUGGUGGGGGUUGGGUGUAGUAUCUUGUAUGUAUGUGGUUAGAGUCAAUAAAGAAGAAGAGAAGCAUUAGCACUUGAAAACUUUUUAAACCUUUUGGGCUAAUACUGUUUAUCUUUACAACCUCUCUUUUUGUAAAAUAUACUAGUUGCUUUUACAAACUUUUGUUCCUUUAUGGUGGAGUUCGAGACUUUCAGGAAAUGUAAAAAGCCAAGCAAAUCUUGCACUUUUGGAGGCAAGGCUUAUGUUUUCCUCCGUUCUUUUUUUUUUUUUUUAAACGAGAUUUGGGCUAACAUUCUCUCGUGACCGGUGUUUGCCACUCGUGAACGGGGUUUGUCAAUUAAAACAAGUGACCAGCAAUUUUUGUUAUUUUAUAUGGAGCUUUAUGACAUAAUUCUGUUACUCUUCUUUUCUUAUCUACAAAGUACAAUGUCAAAAGUUCUGAAUUUCUAAUAGUUCUUCUUUUUACCCUUUUUUUAAUGUCUGUCUAAUAUUUUGUUAUCUUGUUACUGACAAAAAAAUCCUGUUUGGUAGAAUUCUACUGCUUUCACCUAGAAAAAUGGCUUGUCAUAUGUGCCAUUUUCUCUACUACUUUUGGAAUUUUUCCUUUUCUUUUUGGGGAGAGUGUAUAUGAUAAUCUAACAAGUAAUCACAACAUUGAUGUGUGUGGCUCUGAGAAUCCGGCCGGAAAUCCGGCCAAAAACUGGCCGGAUAUGCAACAGUAAAAAAUAAAAAUAAAAAAUUUUUCUGCCCAGAAUCCCUCCACGAAUCCCUCCAAUUUCUGGCCGGAUUGUGAACAGUAACCAGCGUAAGAUGAAUCCAUUUCACGGAUUCCUCACAAUUUUUCUUCCUUCUUCUUCAACCCAACUCACACACUAACACCUCAAACACACACUACUCACUAAACUCACUCUUUUCACCAUCCAAUCUUCAAACCAACUAUACCAAAACACUCCCCUUUUACUUGAGAGAUGAUUUCAUAGCUAAAAAAUUCUUCAAAAACAAGUCUAAAUUCGGAUUUUAGUUUAGCAAGAGCAAGGGUUUCAAAUUUUUGAACUCUUCAUUUGAGGCCGAAUUGGAGUGAAAUUUUUGGGGGUUUUCAUCACCAUUGGCAUCCAUAAUCAUCAACCAACAAGUUUGAGGUAACAAAUUUUCACCAAAUGUUGUCAUUUGAAUUUUGCCAAUUUUUAUUUUUUUUCUAUUUUUGGGCAAUUCCGAAUUUUUUUCAUUUUGUGAAGUUUGGUGCUUUACAUUGUGCUUAUUGAGCUUAUUGAUGAUUAUUGGUGAUGUUUAACUCAUGAGUUUGUCAUUAUUUGGUGAAAUUUUGCUAAUUUUAUGCUUAAUUUGGCUUAGUGACAAAGUUGCAUAUUAAGUAGCCAAAUGUAGCAUUUUAAUUAGCUUAGUGGGAGUUUUUUAUAUUUAUGUGAGUAAUUUAGAUUAUCUAAUGAAUGAAAAGGUGCUUGAUUGAAUGAUUUUGUGAAUUCUUAGGUAAUUCUAAAAGAAGAGGUGAAUUGAAGAUGACCUUAAUUGAUGAAAUUCAUAAAUGCACUUACAAUUUUUGUGGUUCAAUAGUUUUUAGUGUUUCAUGAAUUCUCACGAAGGUCAUUUAUAUUUUGGUUUGGUGUGUUUGCCUCCACUUUGAGAUUACUUUUGUACUUGCGGGGAUUUGAUCAUUGAUGACAAAAUAUAUAAAUGGAACUUAUUUUGUUCAUGAUUGUGGAUUUUUUUGUGUGAAAUUAGCUUCCCUUUGCUUUGGAUACUAAUGCAUAUAUUUGAUUAGCAAAGAUUAGCUCAUUUCAUGUUUUUAUCCGUUGAACAUUGUAUGGUUCCACAUGCUUGAUCAUUUUUCCUUUUUCCUUGAAUUGCAUGAUUUUGUUGAUUGCAACCUUUUAUUUUUAAGAAAUUUAUUUGUUUUGAUUUUGUCUUUUUCAGGGUGCAAUAAGUGAACUCUCCAUUCUUUCUCAAAUACGGUUGGAAAUUCAUCACUUGGACAUGGAUUCGGAUUGCGCAAGUUCAAUUGAGCAGUAUUUUCUUUUACUCCUUAUUUAUUUUCCUUUUCUCACAUUGAGGACAAUGUGAAGUUUAAGUGUGGGGGAGGAAAGUAUUGAACUUGCAUUUACUUGCUAGGUGAUGAUAUUUUGUGGAUUUAAAUGUUUAGAAAUGUUGGAAUUGUGUUUGAAAUGCUUGCCAUGUGGAUAAUUUGCUAGAAAAUAGGUUUGUUGGCAGGGAGUUUUCUUCCAUUUAUAAGGAGAAACUCUGUAAAAAUUUUUCUAAAAUCUUUUCCAAUAUUUCACUAUAGCCCAAAAUUUCUUCAAAUUUUUGCAUUUUCAUUCAAAAAGGGCCAAUUUGUUCCAACCUUAAGUGUUUAAUUCUUCCAAUUGUUGAAAUGUUAUAUGUAUUUUGGAAGGUUUAGUCCUCAUUUAACUUGGAAAUGUUUAUUACGCAAUUAGAAUUUUUACAUUUUAGAAAGUAUAUUUGGUAAAAUGAGGAAAAUUAUGCCUAUAAUUUUACAUGUUUAAUGAGAUUUCUUCUCUUUACUUAAUUUUGCAAGUAAGUGAUUGAUAUAGUCGAUAAAGGUUAUAUUCCUCCUUUGAUUAUUCUUAUAUAUUUUCUAAGAGGGAAUAUCUAUUUAUUGUCCUUUAUUUCUGAAAAAGAAAAAAAAAAGUAGAAAAAAAAAAAGAAAAAAAAAGAGAAAAGAAAAGAAAGUAAAUAAAAAUUGUUGUACUCCAAUGAUUCUCGUACCGAGUAACCGGGGGUUGGCAUCUACAAAUGUCAACAUUCGCGUAAAAAGGUACUUGAAUUAAGAGUAUGCAUUAGCAACUUGAAUAAGUGAAAUGUUGAGUAACCGGGGAUCUUCACCUAAAAGUGUCGAUUUUCGCGUAAAAAGGCAUUCUCACUAUUUAAGUAAAAUUUGUGUGAAUAAAUCCCUCUUAGUUAUAGAAUUUUGAGAAAAAGAUGAUUAUAAGGAGGAGGAAAGCUAUAAAUUGACUAUGUGAUUUGCUUAUUUGUAAAAUUAAGUUAGGGUAAGAGAUUAAGUUUAACUUGUUGAAUUUAGGGUAUAAUUAUCUUUCCUUUACUUGAUAUUAUGAGUAUUUAGUGUAAAUUGAAUAAUUGUACAAUGAUUAUUUUCCAAGUCUUGAGGAAUUAAAUUGAUAACAAAGUGCAUAUAUUGUUUCACAUCUUGAAUCAUUGCAUUUGAUUAUGUGUGAAUUGCUUGAGGACAAGCAAUGAUUUAAGUGUGGGGGAGUUUGAUAAGUGACUAAUUUACGUAAUAAUUGUAUGAUAUUUUAUAUUAUUUUUAGUCACUUUGGGUAUAUUAUUGGAAGAAAAUGAUUCAUUUUGGCUAUAAUUGGUGAAAAAUGUUUUUAAGUGGUUAAAUGAGGUUUUUAUCACUUUUUACUUGGAUUUUGUGUAUUUUGACAGUUUUGACACAUUUUCGUAUUUCGGCUAUAACUUGAGUUACAGUGAUCGGAUUAAGAUGAUUCUUGAACCAAUUUGAAGAUAAGAGAUAGAUCUACAACUUUGGUGAAGAUAUCUAAAUCCAGUUUGAAGGUUUUCCAGGUCAAAAUGCCGAAUUACAAUAGCAAAUUUCUACUGGUCGAAACUGGAACAGGGCAAUGAGCAGGUAAGGGUAUUUCGGUUAUUUAUCAGCCUACACAGAUCCAAAUGAGGUGAUUCUUGAUGCAUUGGAAAGCUAACUCAAAGGGCUACAAGUUUUAUGUUUUGGUCAAGAGCUAAAUCAGCUUUUAUCAUCAAGAAAAGUUCAGUUGAAGUUGAGUCAAAAUCGGAGCAGAGCUGGAAAUUGAACCAGAAGUGACCAAAUGGUCACUGUAGCAAUCCGGCCGGAAUUUGGCCGGAUUUGUGGCCGGAUUCCUGGCCGGAUUGUGGUCAGAAAAGGCUGCUUUGUACGCGUAAAACUCAAUUUCACCUCCACCAACUCACAUGUGAUGCUAUACAUGUGAGAAACAUUCCCAGCUGUAAAAGGGAGAUGUAAUCCUCAUUUCUUGACCAACUUUCAUCAUUAAAUAGCCAAAAUUCAUUGCAAGAAAAGGAGAUGGAGUUCAUAGCAGAAAAAUAGGGAGAGACAUACGGGAGAAGCUUGGAGUCUGCAGAAAUGUAGCUCUUUCAUCUUCCUAGUGUUAGUUUAGCGUAGUAUAGAGUAGUGUAGCUUUUCCAUUCUUGUUUAUUAUCUAGAUGAAGAAGAAGAUGGAGGAUGAAGAAGGCAAGGAAGAAAGCUCAUGUGACAAGGGUUGUAUUCCUUCCAAACUCUUUAUCUUUUGUACUUGAUUCUAAGUUUGGUUAAUAUACAAGUUCUGGAUUUUGUGUUUAAUAUGUGUAUCUAAAGUUUAAGCCUUGGGUUUGGUUGAACUUUCUAUGAUUGUUAGUGUUUAUUAUUUG